rnacentral:lncRNA from 1 species
AGCCAGAAUGGAGAUACCUGAUCAUCAGAGGCUGGAGGAAAGCAGAUUCAGAAUUUGGCUGGAUGCUCCUAAAGAGCUACUGAAAUAGACUCAAUGGCAGCUACGAUGCCCAACAGAAGCAGCGAUGCCUGGUGCACAUAGCAGGUUGCUAGCAGGAGUCAUCUGGGGUGAUUCACCUGUCUUGUUGGUGAGGAUAUGGACAUCAUCUGGGGACUCUCAGAAAUCCCUGAAGUGAUAUAGAGUCCCACAUGAGCUUGCCUGUGGUGUUUUACAAACCAAUAACGUAGUGUUCAUAAACCAAAGUCACUUGGAGCUUCAGAAUUGUAAAAUAUUCUCAAGAAGGUUUUCAGGCCGGCUUAUACCUGGAAAAACUUACAGAUCUACUUGAAGCCUCUCUAAGCUCCCGGACUAGUAAAUUUCCAAAAAAUCAGCUUUCAAGAUGAUUUUCCGUUGGGUCUGAUGAAGAUUCUACCCUUCACUAGACUCUACCCAGGCUCCUCUGAGCCCUCUUCUCAACUAGAUCUCAACUGUGGUCUAUAAAGGCUUAACACUAACAUAGUUUCCAACAGCUCAACCCCACAUCCCAAAGGUGUUCUUCACUAGCCUUAAAGUGCUGGCCUGAGAAAACUCAAGACUGCCAAAUGAAUCUGCGUUUUUUCCAGGCAUCACCUGAAGAUAAGGCCCCUGUCUCCUAGUCUCUGUGGGAAGGCGAGAACCUAGCUUGGAUAAGCGCCAGUCAAAAAACCCACAUGGUUUCCCAUGGACCAACUCCACUUUACCACUUUUGGGAAUUUUUCACUUUCCUAACUGAGCCCCUACUUUCCCCUCUCCCUAAUUCCUUCUUUUAUCCUUAAAAUGCCCAGUCACUUCUGUACAACUCGAAGUUGAAUUUUGUUCACACUGGACUCUUUUCCCUAUUGAAAUAGUUAUCACUGAUUAAAAUCUGUCCUUACCAC